rnacentral:rRNA from 1 species
UACGUUGGGUGCGAGCGUUGUCCGGAAUUAUUGGGCGUAAAGGGCUCGUAGGCGGUCUGUCGCGUCGAAAGUGAAAACUCAGGGCUUAACCCUGAGCCUGCUUCCGAUACGGGCAGACUAGAGGUAUGCAGGGGAGAACGGAAUUCCUGGUGUAGCGGUGAAAUGCGCAGAUAUCAGGAGGAACACCGGUGGCGAAGGCGGUUCUCUGGGCAUUACCUGACGCUGAGGAGCGAAAGUGUGGGGAGCGAACAGG